rnacentral:lncRNA from 1 species
AUCUUGCUCAAGAUCCCUAUGUACCCUGGGCCUUCCAAAUUGCCUUCAUGCUUAUGUUCAGAGCUCUGCAGUGCCAGCAAAUGAGCAGCUAAGCCAUCGUAUGCAAUCACAUUUCUCCUGAAGAGCAGAUUCAGCUCCAGUCUACUCAAAUGCUCUUACUUGCUAAUGUAAACCACAACGCAUGUCUUGUCCUCUGUAAAACAUAUUUCAUCCUCUUUUAAAUAGAGAAUUGAGGAGAAAUAGAACAAAGAGUAUGGACCAUUGCAUAUGAGAAGAUAUUUGGAAGAUACUGCAAUACAUUGUCAUUUCUAAAUGUAUUUUCUGGUGGUUUGUUCCUUUGUCUUUAUUUUCUUCCCAUUUUUUUCCCUAUUUUUCUUUCUUGAUUUCUUUUUUCACCGUGAUCUCUCUUUUGCACUCAAUCCCUUCAUAUCUGAAGUUGAGAUAUUGUCUUUUCUUCUCACUUAGAGUGCUUUGCAUUUUUAUUUUGCCUUAUGCAACUAUUAAAGGUUGAAAAGUAUCUAUCUGUACUGUAGGUAGCAUGAUCUGUAAAAACUAAGAGAUUCUCUGGCUUUUUAUGAAAGACAGCCCUUCAUUUCAGAGCGUAGUAUACAAUCUUCUUUGGAUAGCUACUGACAAAGGUCAGUGCAAGUUCUCACUUGGGAGUUAACAGCUGUGGUCAUUACAACUUCUGAUAAAGCUCUGGGAUUUCCUUUUUCACUGCCUUGUCUGUACUUGUGUAUAUAUAUGCAGAAUAAAACCAGAGUAGGUUUG